rnacentral:rRNA from 1 species
UACGGAGGGGGCUAGCGUUGUUCGGAAUUACUGGGCGUAAAGCGCACGUAGGCGGCUUGUUAAGUCGGAGGUGAAAUCCUGGAGCUCAACUCCAGAACUGCCUUCGAUACUGGCGAACUUGAGUUCGGGAGAGGUGAGUGGAACUGCGAGUGUAGAGGUGAAAUUCGUAGAUAUCGGGAGGAACACCAGUAGCGAAGGCGGAGACCUGGGCAGAUACUGACGCUGAGGUGCGAAAGCGUGGGGAGCAAACAGG